rnacentral:rRNA from 1 species
AGACCCGAAACCCGGUGAUCUAGCCAUGGGCAGGUUGAAGGUUGGGUAACACUAACUGGAGGACCGAACCGACUAAUGUUGAAAAAUUAGCGGAUGACCUGUGGCUGGGGGUGAAAGGCCAAUCAAACCGGGAGAUAGCUGGUUCUCCCCGAAAGCUAUUUAGGUAGCGCCUCGUGAAUUCAUCUCCGGGGGUAGAGCACUGUUUCGGCUAGGGGGCCAUCCCGGCUUACCAACCCGAUGCAAACUGCGAAUACCGGAGAAUGUUAUCACGGGAGACACACGGCGGGUGCUAACGUCCGUCGUGAAGAGGGAAACAACCCAGACCGCCAGCUAAGGUCCCAAAGUCAUGGUUAAGUGGGAAACGAUGUGGGAAGGCCCAGACAGCCAGGAUGUUGGCUUAGAAGCAGCCAUCAUUUAAAGAAAGCGUAAUAGCUCACUGGUCGAGUCGGCCUGCGCGGAAGAUGUAACGGGGCUAAACCAUGCACCGAAGCUGCGGCAGCGACACUGUGUGUUGUUGGGUAGGGGAGCGUUCUGUAAGCCUGUGAAGGUGUGUCGUGAGGCAUGCUGGAGGUAUCAGAAGUGCGAAUGCUGACAUAAGUAACGAUAAAGCGGGUGAAAAGCCCGCUCGCCGGAAGACCAAGGGUUCCUGUCCAACGUUAAUCGGGGCAGGGUGAGUCGACCCCUAAGGCGAGGCCGAAAGGCGUAGUCGAUGGGAAACGGGUUAAUAUUCCCGUACUUGGUGUUACUGCGAAGGGGGGACGGAGAAGGCUAUGUUGGCCGGGCGACGGUUGUCCCGGUUUAAGCGUGUAGGUGUGUGUUCCAGGUAAAUCCGGUUCACUUUAACACUGAGGCGUGACGACGAGGCACUACGGUGCUGAAGCAACAAAUGCCCUGCUUCCAGGAAAAGCCUCUAAGCAUCAGGUAACAUCAAAUCGUACCCCAAACCGACACAGGUGGUCAGGUAGAGAAUACCAAGGCGCUUGAGAGAACUCGGGUGAAGGAACUAGGCAAAAUGGUGCCGUAACUUCGGGAGAAGGCACGCUGACACGUAGGUGAAGUGAUUUACUCAUGGAGCUGAAGUCAGUCGAAGAUACCAGCUGGCUGCAACUGUUUAUUAAAAACACAGCACUGUGCAAACACGAAAGUGGACGUAUACGGUGUGACGCCUGCCCGGUGCCGGAAGGUUAAUUGAUGGGGUCAGCGCAAGCGAAGCUCCUGAUCGAAGCCCCGGUAAACGGCGGCCGUAACUAUAACGGUCCUAAGGUAGCGAAAUUCCUUGUCGGGUAAGUUCCGACCUGCACGAAUGGCGUAAUGAUGGCCAGGCUGUCUCCACCCGAGACUCAGUGAAAUUGAACUCGCUGUGAAGAUGCAGUGUACCCGCGGCAAGACGGAAAGACCCCGUGAACCUUUACUAUAGCUUGACACUGAACAUUGAGCCUUGAUGUGUAGGAUAGGUGGGAGGCUUUGAAGUGUGGACGCCAGUCUGCAUGGAGCCGACCUUGAAAUACCACCCUUUAAUGUUUGAUGUUCUAACGUGGACCCGUUACCCGGGUUGCGGACAGUGUCUGGUGGGUAGUUUGACUGGGGCGGUCUCCUCCUAAAGAGUAACGGAGGAGCACGAAGGUUGGCUAAUCCUGGUCGGACAU